CUCGACUGCAUGAAGUCGGAAUCGCUAGUAAUCGCAGAUCAGCAAAGCUGCGGUGAAUACGUUCCCGGGCCUUGUACACACCGCCCGUCACACCACGGGAGUCGGUCGCGCCUGAAGCCGGUGGCCUAUCAGUAAUGGGGGAGCCGUCUAUGGCGAGAUUGGUAACUGGGGUGAAGUCGUAACAAGGUAAC
rnacentral:rRNA from 1 species